rnacentral:lncRNA from 1 species
GUGUUUGCUGCUCUCCGUUUGGGUUCAACUUGGGACUGAGAAUUUUGUGCUGGCUUGCUGAGGGAAAAAGUUCCGCGCUGCUGCUGUAAAGCUCAGUGGCCACACUGACUCCAGCAGGCCCAUCACACUGGGAUUUGUGUUCCCAUUCCAGGCAUGUUCCAGCCUGGUACAUCACCUGCAUGAACUCACAACAACCCUGCAGUGGAUGCUGAGACCUGGAGAGGGUCAAUGACUUGCCACAGGACCCCCAACCUACAUUCCAAAGAUGAAUUUAUUUAUCACCUCAGGAAAUGGCACAGGAGAUGUGGUCAUUAUAAUCCACCUCUGAGACACAGUGUCACAUAAGGAGAAGGGUACAAGGCACCCUGAAGGUAGGUCAAUCUCUACACCUUUCUCUGUUUUAUCACCUAUAAGAGUGAAAUAAUGAUACUUAGGCUUAUGUACCACAUAAGGUUGCAGUGGGAUCAAAGGAGUUAUAAGCAGAAGCCCCUGAAAGAAUUAUAAGCUCUAUUUGUUACUAGGAAGUGGCUCUCAAGUCAAACUGAAUAUGUGUCACCUGGAGGAAGAAUCACAUGGAGGAAGGAGUAUGCACUGAAUUUAAAGUGCAGAUUUCAGGGCCUGGCUGCUAC